GGCAGCCAGGCCUGAGAGUUGAGCUUUGUGAUCAGAACUGAAAUAAGACAGAAGAUGUCCAAAUUACCACCAGCAGAAUUAUACAAAGUCACGCCACAGUAUCCACUUGAAACUUCCCAAGCACUAGCAGGAGCACCUCUGACCCACUGCGCUACAAUUCUAGCAGUUCUGAAACUGUUUGUUCCUCUGAGCAUUCUCAUUUGCUGUUCUUUUACAUUGUUGCCAGACAAUAAAAAAUCAAGACAG